UACGUAGGUGGCAAGCGUUGUCCGGAUUUAUUGGGCGUAAAGCGAGCGCAGGCGGUUCCUUAAGUCUGAUGUGAAAGCCCACGGCUCAACCGUGGAAGGUCAUUGGAAACUGGGGAACUUGAGUGCAGAAGAGGAGAGUGGAAUUCCAUGUGUAGCGGUGAAAUGCGUAGAUAUAUGGAGGAACACCAGUGGCGAAGGCGACUCUCUGGUCUGUAACCGACGCUGAGGCUCGAAAGCGUGGGGAGCAAACAGGAUUAGAUA
rnacentral:rRNA from 1 species